CCCCCCGAGUAAUAUACGCAAAUGUAUAAGUUAAUACCUUAAUUCAGGAGCACAGUCUGUCUUUACCGUAAAUAACUUCGAGAUUAAUAUGUAAGUUUACUUUGCUUAUCGAUGUUCCUGUAAUUCAGAUUUAUAUUUAUUUGUGAGACCCCCGUCACUUUUUAUAUUCACUCAAGAGUCACUCAAAGAAAGGGGUUCUCCGUUACUGGGAAAAUCUUAUCUGAUUUAGGAUCAAUUUAUUGGUUACACUCCCCUAUCACCAGUGAUUCUUUGUUGUAAGCUGACAUUCUGAAAAAGGGCAAGAACAUUAAAGAUAAAGGGAAACUAUAAACAAAAGAGAUAAUCAACAAAAAUAGAUUUACAGACGUCAACAAAGCCUAAAUGGUCAGACAUCUUGGUUUUCAUGAUCAUCAUUCAACAGGUCAAUACUGAACAGAAAACUUAAAGUUGAUAUUUUUCUACAUAGUGUGACUUUUUUAUUAAUUUGAAAUGGAAUGUGUUUUUUUCCUACAUAAGAAAGAGGAAAUUUCAACAUAAUGACUAUAAACAAAAAGGAGUCAUAUUAUCAUGAUCACAGAUGCACAAGAACUAAAUCAUG